AUUCCCACUAGGCAGUUCACAGUACAGAAUUUGUCCUCAGGAGACAGGCUACAACUGCAGCUAUGGAUUUGGGAGUCAUCCAGAAGAGCUGUACAUGAAUUCCAUCAGGGAGAAUAGAUACAGCGAGUGGAGAGGAGGGCUAAGAUCCGGACUGGUUGACCUCUGAGGUCCCUUCUCGCUCAACAGCCGAUGGUGAUGAUGAAAAGAUGAUCUUGUUCUUCUCAUCUGUUCAGCACUGGACAGCUGCCUGGAAAAUCUUGAUUAGCCAAACAAGGUCACCUGAAGGAUGGCCAGUACAGACGCCUGUGGACUGUGCUUGGGAGUCUCCAUCUAAUCUCUCUCUAAGUAGAUGUUCUGGGAUUCCUCCAAGUACAAACACGACUCAAGGGCAACAGCUUGAUCAGAAAAUGUAGAAAUGAAGAGCAAUUAGUUCUCUCCUGGAUUUAGUAAGGUCGUGAAAAUCAUCUUUUCCCAGCACUCAAUGAGGAGACGAGCUUUCUCUCUCUUUUGGGACAUUUGUGAAUGGAGUUUGGUACUGGAUUUGUUGUCAGGAGUUGUGGUGGCUAAAGCUUUCCUUCUCCUCAUUGGUGACUGAAAGGGUGUGCAUGGAUUUUACAACACAUGAGGGAGUCUUCUCUAUUUGUUCUGGUGGCCAUGGCCAUGGGCUUUGCUUGGACCUAGCCUCUCCAUGCCACCUGCCCCGCCAGAGUGAGUGUGUCUGGAGCCACAGUACUACAGCAUGCUUGAUGUCUUAGCUUUAAGGGGCUCCUAGUUAGGGCUGCCCCCUGCAUGCAGUGCUUCCUUUCUUUCCCACUGGCACCUCUUAGGCCUUCGUGGCCCCUGAUUUUUGGUCCUGCCAUUGCUCAUGACCUGGUGAUGGCACUGCUUGCUGUGGAGUUCUGAAGGGGAAAAAGGCAGAGCCAUCAAACAUCUAUGUAGGGCCCAGAUGGGGAGAAGGCGUAAGUCUGAAAAUCUUGCAGUAUUUUAACUGCACCAAAAUUAAGAUAAAAACAUUACACACUGUUAAGAGUUAUGUGUCUAAAGCUCAGAAAUCCCCUAACAACAUGGGUUUUUCCAGAUCUGAAGAAGCCCAAAGAUGGUGCCUAGUAAAGGCCUUAGAAUCAUCAGCGAUCCAGGAAAUACAAAUCAAAACAAUGAGACCACUUUCCUCACUAGGAUGGCUAUCAUGAAAAAGACAGAUACCAAAUGUUGACAAGGAUGUGAAGAAAUUGGAAGUGUCCAUAUGAUCCAGCAAUUCCGCUCCCUGGUACGCACCCUAAAGAAAUGAAAAUAUAAGUCCACUAAUAAUUUGUACACAAGUGUUCUUAUGAACAUUAUUCAUAAAAUCCAAAAAGUGGAAACACCAGCUCCCAAAAGGACAGUCCACAGGUGUCUAUAAAUGGUCCUAAAAGAAUGAAUUGUGGAGUGAUUUUGCAUUAGGCAUGACUAUGCUGUAGGCAGCUCCUGGAAUGGAGGUCCCCCUCAUAGUGCAUGGAGGUCAAUAGCCAGUUGUACCAAAGAGUAUUCUCUCUGUAGUACUGUGGGGAGCACAAGCCCCACCUCCAAAGCCAGAAAUCCAAGCCUUUCAGUGAGACUUCGUGGUAAGUAGUUUAUUUAUUUACCAUAAAUAAAUAAAUAUUUAUAUGCCAGUAGUUUAUUUCUCACAAUUGAGAAGAACAGUACCCAGUGUCAGGAUAUAUCUACCCCUUAAAAGCAUAUGAGACCGGGUGCGGUGGCUCAUGCCUGUAAUCCCAGCACUUCGGGAAGCCAAGGCAGGUGGAUCACCUGAGAUCUGGAGUUUGAGAUCUGACCAACAUGGAGAAACACCAUCUCUACUAAAAAUACAAAAUUAGCCUGGUGUGGUGGUGCAUGCCUGUAUUCCCAGCUACUUGGGAGGCUGAGGAAGGAGAAUUGCUUGAAUCGAGGAGACAGUGGUGGCAGUGAGCCAAGAUCGUGCCAUUGCACUCCAGCCUGGGUGACAGAAUGAAAUUCUAUCUCAAAAAAAAAAAAAGCAUCUGAUAAAAUAUUUCACAUAUUUUUAUUUGUUCAUUAACUGAUGAACGGACAAAUAAAAUUUGGUAUACUCAUACAAUGGAAUCCUAUUUGGCAUGAAAAGGAAUGAAGUACUGAUAACAUGCUGUUGUAUGGGUGAAACUUGACAACAUUAUACUACUUGAAAGAAGCCAGUCUUAAAAAGAUAACACAUUGUAUAUUUCCAUUUAUGGUAAAUGCCUAGAAUAGGCAAAUCCAGGAGACAUAAAGUAGAUUAACAGUUGCCUAACGGCUGGUCCGAGUGCAGAGUUGUUUACAAAACUGAUCACAACCGGUUAUAUAUUUCUUUGUUCCUUCUCCUCUCCCACUGCUCCGCUUGACUCUUCUUAAGAAAUAUAGGGCCGGGCGCGGUGGCUCA